rnacentral:rRNA from 1 species
CCUACGGGAGGCAGCAGUGGGGAAUAUUGGACAAUGGGCGAAAGCCUGAUCCAGCCAUGCCGCGUGUGUGAAGAAGGUCUUCGGAUUGUAAAGCACUUUAAGCUGGGAGGAAGGGCAGUAAGUUAAUACCUUGCUGCUUUGACGUUACCAGCAGAAUAAGCACCGGCUAACUUCGUGCCAGCAGCCGCGGUAAUA